ensembl:snoRNA
UUCCACUGAUGACUUUGUAUUAGUGCCACGUGUCUGGGCCACUGAGACCCCAUGAUGGAACUGAGGAUCUGAGGAA